AGCGAACGCUGGCGGCAUGCCUAACACAUGCAAGUCGCACGGGGGGGCUUCGGCCUCCCAGUGGCGGACGGGUGAGGAACGCGUAGGGACCUGUCGAGGGGUGGGGGAUAACCGCGGGAAACUGCGGCUAAUACCGCAUGACGCCGCGGCGUGACAGCCGGGGCCAAAGGCGAAAGCCGCCCGCCGAGGGGCCUGCGUCCGAUUAGCUGGUUGGCGGGGUAGCGGCCCACCAAGGCGUCGAUCGGUAGCUGGUCUGAGAGGGUGAUCAGCCACACCGGGACUGAGACACGGCCCGGACUCCUACGCGAGGCAGCAGUGGGGAAUAUUGGACAAUGGGCGCAAGCCUGAUACAGCAAUGCCGCGUGGGUGAAGAAGGUCUUCGGAUUGUAAAGCCCUUUCGGCGGGGACGAUGGUGACGGUACCCGCAGAAGAAGCCCCGGCUAACUUCGUG
rnacentral:rRNA from 1 species